AUGACGGCCAGGGGGCCCACCACCUGUCCACGAGGGUGGGGGGCACGCCUGCCCCCCUACCUCGUGGGCCCCUGGAGCUCCUCCGACUACAACUACAACUCUAUAUAUUGUGUUUCGGGGAGAAAAAUCAGAGAGAAGGAUUCAUCGCAUUUUACGAUACAGAGCCACCACCAAGCCCUAAAACCUCUCGGGAGGGCUGAUCUGGAGUCCGUUCGGGGCUCCGAAGAGGGGAAUCCGUCGCCAUCGUCAUCAUCAACCAUCCUCCAUCACCAAUUUCAUGAUGCUCACCGCCGUGCGUGA
rnacentral:rRNA from 1 species